CCAGAAGCUCUGGAUCGACAAACAUGUCUCUCAAGAUCUGUUGCAUCAUUCUGGACUGCCAGAAUCUCCUCUCCAGGAGCACGCUGGGAGAACUGCCAGAUAUAUUUGGAGCAGAAUUCUUUGAGUCAAACAAGUGUCAGAUGUUGUAUUUUCACUAAGAGGCCAGUAUCUCAGAGUCUCCACUAAAGCAGAUGAAGCUGGUCUUUGAUCCCUCUGUGUCCUGCCAGCGUGGAGCUUCUCGCUGUGUCAUAGAGUCGAGCACAGCCAGCUGAUUGCCAGUGAAUACUGUGGUGCAGUACAGUGUCCCAUCAGAUCCAUGAUGAGGGUUUGUGUGGUUGCAUCUAUGUUGUGAUGGGCCUCUGAUGUGCACUGAAGGUCAGAAGUGUCCCACAGGUGAACGGACAAGGGCUGUUGUCAACCUAUAAUGAAACUGGAUCUCUCUCGCUCGCUUUAUUUUGCUCUCUCACCUCAGCAAGCAAACAGGCACACACACCCAGAGAGAGAGAUACUGCUAAUGUAAUUAGAAACCUCUCUGUUGUCCUGUCUAGGGUUCAUCUGGGCCCAUUGCUCUCUUCAUUAAGUCUGUCCUCCUGCGGUACACGUCUAAUGCCUUUGCAAGAGAGACUCUUGCAAAUUCUUUUCUUUAAGCUAUUUAAGCAAAUGUAAUGCUGCUGACUUGUUUGGCAUGAAUUAUUUAGCCUAUUUGUAUCUUUAUGUUGCUCAUUCCUUAAAUUUUCUUUGCAUCUGUGUAAAGUAUUGCCUUAAACACAGAUUGAACAAAGUAAAUCCUUGUGACUUUGAGCUUGUAUCUGUACAUCUGGGGAAAUGACUGAAGGUGUGUUGAUGUAUUUGAAUAGUGUUUUUAAUGUUCUCAGCUGUGCACCACAAACAACCACAUGGUGCAUAAUUCUCUCUCUUUUUCUCUUUCUCUCUCUGUCCUUUAUCUUUCUGUGUCAAGGUUAUAGUUCCUUUUCAAAAGAUCCUUGAGUUUUUUCCCCCAUACAGCCUUGAUGAAUGUUAAAUAGCAGUGCAUGUUCAUGCAAGUAUUUAGCUCUGAUAUAUUUUUUAAAAUAAUCUAUUUUAAUUAUAUUUAUAUAAUAGUAUAAGCAUAUUUCUAUGAAACUUUAAAUUAAUGUCAUGGAACUUUGAUUAAUAUACUAUGACAUUUCUACUUGCCUACUUUUCAUUUUCUUUUUUAUGAAUGUUAUAAAUGCAGACAACUUAAAAACAAUACCGAUACUUUCCGGCGGGCAAAACUAAAAGUUUACACACUCACACUAGUGCUCUCCUGUUCAGUACUUCUUAAAAAGUCAAUUUAUCUCCCAGCCAGCUUAAGCCCCAGGCAUCAAGACAGAUUGUUUUAGGUCCUUUCUCAGCUGUAAUGACACAUGAGAUAUGGACUAGCAGAACUGAAUGUGUGGGUG